UUGGAGCUCUGGCUUAAAAAAAACGGAACACGUCUGAUACUUCUGUCCAAAUCCUGGGCUAGGGAAUUCCCUGGUGGUCCAGUGGUUAGGACUUGAUGCUUUCACUGCAUAGGCCCAGGGUUCAACCUCUGGUGGUGGAGCUAAGAUCCUGUAAACCUCUCAGGGGAAAAAAAAAAAAAAAAUCCUAGGUUGACACUCCAUUUCACCAGGUUUGCAGUGAGAGGCAUUUCAGUUUAACCCCUCUUGGCCUCAAGGAGGAAUGCCGCUCUCUUUCUCCCUAUGAAAACCUUUUAAAAAAUAAAGUGAGAUACCGAAAUUCAAGAGAUUUUGCAAAAGAAAAAAAAUACAGUAAAAUUCAGGAGGCUAUUAUUGUGAGAGAAGUGAAGGGGCAUGUUGUGAUUGAGGGAGAAUAGGAAAGAUGAAAAAUGACGCUUGAGAAUGAAAUAGACUUACAUGUAUAAUCCUAGGUUCUGCCACUUCAGUUUCUUCUUUUUUCCCUUUAGGUUUCUCAGACUGAACAAAGUCUUCUCUCACAUAUAUCAGAUACCUUAAUGAGCUCAGUGGCUCAUUAAGUGGCUCAAAUACCUCAAUGCCCCUCAAUAUACAUUCUCCAAGUUGGUAAAUUUUUACUAACAUCAUCCAUCACAGGUUUCCCAUCCCCUCCUUGUUCGCUCCUAGCUCAUACUCCACAGAAGAUAAUAUGCCCCUAAUUCUAGAAGAGACAGACUGUAUCACAGCUUCCUAUAGAAAGAGUGUCACUAGCUCCAUCAUAAUGGUUCAGAUCUCCCAACCCCCGCCCCCCACACACUAUGUCCAGUGGGGCACAGCACCAGCACUGUUGAGAACCUCAAAAUUCCCACAUGAGUUUGAGGAGCACUGGGAGCAGGGAGAAUCUGGCCCUUUGAAAAUAUGGCAGUAGGAUGGAGAGGGCAUGUAAACUGGACUUGCUCGACAGAGUGGCUUUCCGGAGGGUGACCAUUUCAGGCAAACACGCAGCGCGGCAACUGGAGGGCGAACUAGAGAGAGUGGCCCCGCUCCGUCCCUGUGCAGGUGCUUCCCUUCCUCUGGUCUUUAGGGGAGAAUGGUGGGGGGCAAGGAAGAAAGAGGACAAAGACAGAUUCUUCUGCCAGAAGGCCUCUGAAGGUAGCAGGUCCUGCAUCAGCUUCUGGAUUCGAGGAGACUUGAGCUGGUAUAGGUCCAUAAGACGGUUGAACUGUUCCAUCCACGCAGCACUGUCUCUUGCGUAUCGCUCCUGCAACAUCCGCAGAACAUGGGUCCAGGGCACCUGUGAAAAUGUCUCUUGUGGCAGAAUCAUAGUAUCGCAUCUCCAUCCCCCUGAGAGCAGUGGCUAUCUGCUUUGCCCGCGCACUCCGGACAUGGUGGAUCCACUCUACAUCUGAGAAACUGAUGUCUGGGUAGAUUUCCUCAGCCAGGAUUUUGGACAAAGCCAACUGCGGUUUGCUGAGUCUGUAAGAACGGUGUAAGUGAUAUCCUUGGACGCUCUUGUAAGGAGGAAGUCUUCAUCUUCCUUUUCUUGUAUGUAUUGUUCUGCGUCGCUUAUAGCUCUUGCCCGGCUGUGCCAGAAGAAGAAUUGUUGAGACUUGUCCCAUUCCAGCUCCCGCACGGGUGAGUGCAGGCUGCACUGCAGGUAUAUCGGGCUGCCCUCUGGCCAGAGACGGGCCCGGAUCACCGAGUUAGGGAUGUAGCAAUCUGGAGCCAAGAGCCAUUCCCGCCCGUGACCAAAGUAGCACCGCAGUAUCUGAUAGGGGUUGAGUUCAUCCCAGGUAGUCAGCUGUAGCUGGGGAGGAAGCACAUAAUGGAAAUAAGGUGGUUUUUUCACCUGCGACACAUCAACUUCCUUAUACCUGGAAUCAUGUUUGAAGGAAGAGAGUAGCACAGGGCUCCCUUGCUCAUCUUCUUCAAUGACAUGUGGCACAUUAUGAUCAAAGGCAAUGGCUCGAUGAUUGACAAGACUCUCCAGACCCACCAGUUGCUGCUGCCCGUGUCCAGGGUAGAUAUAUUUGGGCACAAACAUGGUCUCGAAGGAGAAGAAGAAGCUUGGUAUGAAAGGCUUAGGGACUUCGAGCACUUCAUCUGUCAGACCCAUAAGGGAGAGGUGAACCAGCAGGGUUGCAGGAAGCAGCUUUAAACAGGACACCAGAUAAAGACUCUCGUUGAAAGUUACAAGCAGGUCACCCCGGUCAUUUGCAAAGCAGAGUGGGCCAAAAUGCAGUGAUGAGUCCAGCAUGGCUAUGAGUCUCCCAUGGAAGUUCCAGAUCCGGACAGAGCCGUCACUGCCACCAGUGACAAAAAGACUCAGGGUCAGGCAGACAUCAAAAGAGAUGAUGGUGCAUUGGUGCAAAGGCAAGGUCUCUAUGAACGUUGAGCCAUCCUGUGAGCCAGAAGACAGAAAGUCAUGGAACUUCCAGAGACGCAGGCAGUUAGUCUGGGUGAUAGCACCCACUGACUUGGGCAAGAGUAUCAAGUGUGUUAGCUGACAGCUGCAGAGAAUGCUGGCAAGGGUCCGCAGUUUCACUCUGACCCCUUCAAGCACAGCUUCUGAGAGGUGUAUGUAGUCAUCCAUUCCAUAGGAACAGAGCAAAGAGUUUUCUCGGCUACCAGAGAGCCCUCCGGGCAAUGUAGAGAGGGCUAAGACAGACCCAAAGUGAAUGUAUGUCUCAAUACGGGCACAGCUGUGCUGGGAGAGCACUCUAAUCACACCGCUCUGGUAUCCAGAGAACAUCAGUCCUUCUAGACCCCGGCCCAGGUGAAAGUGCCCAUAAGCCAGGCACUGUACCAGGUCCUGAGAAUCUGGUGAGGUGCAUAAGAGAUACUUGGCCAUGCAAGGGGAGCGGGUGGUGUCAAAGACCAGCACGUCUGGGCUGCCUGUUGCUACAAAGAGCUCCUCUUUAUUGGGGUCGUAGGCCCAAUCCGUGGCCUGGUCCAGAAUUGAGAAGGGCCAGGUGAUGACCAGGAGAUUCCCCGUUAGCGGAGACACGAAGCGCAGCAGGCCAUCCUCGGUGGUGCACAGGAUCCGGAACCAGUUACUGCCACAGUGGACCCGGCGCACCUGCAGGGGAGCAGAGCCACAAACAUUGAAGAGGCUAUAGAAGAAGGGCAGGCUGCGCAAGGAGAAAGAGUGGGUAGUCUGGCAGAAGAAAGUGGUGCCAUCGAUAAACUGGAGCCGAUACAGCUCCUCGCCCAGUUCAAGCCGCCGUAGCAGAUUGCCUGAAGUCAGGUUCCACUCUUUGAUUAUGCCUUCCCGGCCAGCUGUGAGCAGGGUGUGGGCUUCUGGCUGGCUGCGGAUACAGACCACCGAAGAGAAGUGGGCCUUGAAAGUGUGGAGGGACUGGCCCCAAUUGAGGUUCCACACUUGGAUCUCCCCAGUCUUGUUUCCAGCGUAAAGAAAGCCCUGCUCAGAACAAGUGAAGCAGCAGGUGAUCGAGGAGCCACUGAUGGUGGAAGAGAACUUCUUCACCUCUGCCAGGAGGCCAUGGCCCUGGCGCUCCAGGACCCUCACCACAUUCUCACACAUGGCAAUCAGGGAGCCGUUGGGGCCAUUCAGCACGAUGUCAUGGACCAACUCAUCACCAGGCAGGGCGACCAUGUGGGCUAUUUGGAGACCCCUGCCGCUGCGCUCAAUGGUCCAGGUGACCACUGCCCCCAGGAUUCCCGACAGAAGCAUCUUCAUUUCUGGGUCAUAGCAGAGGCAGGUGAUGUUAAAGCGACAGGGUACUACCCCCAGGGAUUUGAAUGACCGAAGGUGGUCCCCAAAGAGCCGCAGGAGCAGGUCACCACAGUAGACCACAAGGAUAUGAAACGAACCUGUGUGGACCAUGGACUGGAUGGGUGGCAGCCGAUCUGUCAUGGAGAACGUUCUCUUCUCCACCAUGUCCUCAGUCUUGCUUUUCAUCCAUACUACAGCCUGAGAGAAUAAAAUGGAAACUAUCUAGGAUAGGUAGUAGAAGAGGAAAGGGCAGAAUAGUCAGCUAUUUUUCUCUUGCUAAGG
rnacentral:lncRNA from 1 species